rnacentral:misc_RNA from 1 species
AACUACCUGCAGCCCGACUUGAACGGAGCUCUUUUUUUCUGGUGGUUGAGCGAAGUCGAAACUACCAGAAAAAAAAGCGGGAGUGGAAGGCGGAAAUAUCU